rnacentral:rRNA from 1 species
ACGGGCAGACUAGAGUGCAGUAGGGGAGACUGAAUUCCUGGUGUAGCGGUGAAAUGCGCAGAUAUCAGGAGGAACACCGAUGGCGAAGGCAGGUCUCUGGGCUGUAACUGACGCUGAGGAGCGAAAGCAUGGGGAGCGAACAGGAUUAGAUACCCUGGUAGUCCAUGCCGUAAACGUUGGGCACUAGGUGUGGGGGACAUUCCACGUUUUCCGCGCCGUAGCUAACGCAUUAAGUGCCCCGCCUGGGGAGUACGGCCGCAAGGCUAAAACUCAAAGGAAUUGACGGGGGCCCGCACAAGCGGCGGAGCAUGCGGAUUAAUUCGAUGCAACGCGAAGAACCUUACCAAGGCUUGACAUGUUCCUGACCGCCGUAGAGAUACGGUUUCCCCUUUGGGGCAGGUUCACAGGUGGUGCAUGGUUGUCGUCAGCUCGUGUCGUGAGAUGUUGGGUUAAGUCCCGCAACGAGCGCAACCCUCGUUCCAUGUUGCCAGCACUUCGGGUGGGGACUCAUGGGAGACUGCCGGGGUCAACUCGGAGGAAGGUGGGGACGACGUCAAAUCAUCAUGCCCCUUAUGUCUUGGGCUUCACGCAUGCUACAAUGGCCGGUACAAUGGGUUGCGAUACUGUGAGGUGGAGCUAAUCCCAAAAAGCCGGUCUCAGUUCGGAUUGGGGUCUGCAACUCGACCCCAUGAAGUCGGAGUCGCUAGUAAUCGCAGAUCAGCAACGCUGCGGUGAAUACGUUCCCGGGCCUUGUACACACCGCCCGUCAAGUCACGAAAGUUGGUAACACCCGAAGCCGGUGGCCUA